rnacentral:rRNA from 1 species
CGGGCGUUAAGUUGCAGGGUAUAGACCCGAAACCCGGUGAUCUAGCCAUGGGCAGGUUGAAGGUUGGGUAACACUAACUGGAGGACCGAACCGACUAAUGUUGAAAAAUUAGCGGAUGACCUGUGGCUGGGGGUGAAAGGCCAAUCAAACCGGGAGAUAGCUGGUUCUCCCCGAAAGCUAUUUAGGUAGCGCCUCGUGAAUUCAUCUCCGGGGGUAGAGCACUGUUUCGGCUAGGGGGCCAUCCCGGCUUACCAACCCGAUGCAAACUGCGAAUACCGGAGAAUGUUAUCACGGGAGACACACGGCGGGUGCUAACGUCCGUCGUGAAGAGGGAAACAACCCAGACCGCCAGCUAAGGUCCCAAAGUCAUGGUUAAGUGGGAAACGAUGUGGGAAGGCCCAGACAGCCAGGAUGUUGGCUUAGAAGCAGCCAUCAUUUAAAGAAAGCGUAAUAGCUCACUGGUCGAGUCGGCCUGCGCGGAAGAUGUAACGGGGCUAAACCAUGCACCGAAGCUGCGGCAGCGACACUCAGGUGUUGUUGGGUAGGGGAGCGUUCUGUAAGCCUGCGAAGGUGGCCUGUGAGGGUUGCUGGAGGUAUCAGAAGUGCGAAUGCUGACAUAAGUAACGAUAAAGCGGGUGAAAAGCCCGCUCGCCGGAAGACCAAGGGUUCCUGUCCAACGUUAAUCGGGGCAGGGUGAGUCGACCCCUAAGGCGAGGCCGAAAGGCGUAGUCGAUGGGAAACGGGUUAAUAUUCCCGUACUUGGUGUUACUGCGAAGGGGGGACGGAGAAGGCUAUGUUGGCCGGGCGACGGUU